rnacentral:misc_RNA from 1 species
UUAAGUUCAGCGGGUAUCCCUACCUGAUCCGAGGUCAACCGUAAGAGGGGGGGUUUCUGGCAAGUAACCACCUAGACCCUGUAGCGAGAGAAUUACUACACUUAGAGCUAGGCAGCACCGCCACUGAUUUUAGGGGCCGCGAGACCGCGAACCCCAAGACCAAGCUAGGCUUGAGUGGUUAUAAUGACGCUCGAACAGGC